ACGAGAGGCUCCACUUCUCUAAAAAAGCAGCAGCAAACGGCGUACUUUCCCUCUUUCCAAAACCGAACACCCCCUAAUUCGUUUUCCUCAUUCUCAGCAGAAGAAAAUGAACCAGCUUCUCUAACACAUUCCUCUCUGAAGAAACAGACCCCUCCCCUUUUGUCUCUCUAUGAAAGCGGCUGAAAUCUCCUCCUAAAAUGAAGCCGCUGCUGACAUCUUCUUCUCAAGCCCCCACUAGAGCCUGACAGAUCUAGAACAAAAAUCCAGAUCUGAGAUUUUAGAAAGAGCUAAAAAACACAAAAUAAAGAUAGAAAUAAGAGGAGAUUUCAAGAUUGUUGUCGACUUCGUUCCGUUGCUAUAUUCAACUUCUGUGCCUUAGCUUCAUAAUUUCCGAAAAUCUGAAGCGAUUGAAUCGUUGUCCGUUGCUACUCUGAUGUCCCUACUUUGUUGGCUCGCAUGUUCUGCUUUCUAUUUAGCAAUUCUGAAAUUUUCACAUUGUUCUUGAGGUCCUGAUAGACAGGUCGAGAGCCCUCCAAGCAGGCUAUCAGCUCAGCGGAAGAUGUUGGUACUUCUGAACAUGGUAAUUGUUAGAGUGUACACGGUUCCAGCCUAUGGAUACUAUGAGGUGGCUACUAUGUCGUUCACAAACCUUGAAGUUCUCUUUUGUUUAUUUUUUUAUCACUGUUCUAUCAUCCAUACAAUUUAUGUAUUGAGCAUUGAUUUUGUCUUUUGAGAUUCUGUAGCGCUCAUGUACUCGUUGACACCUAGUCAUUGGGAUGGUCAUAAUUGUGUUAUUGUUGCUAUUUUUAGAUAUUUUAUGAUUAUUCCGGUGUUGAGAUUA